rnacentral:sRNA from 1 species
GCAAGGAGUUGGUGGCCCACUCCAGUGACUAUAUCGAUGGUCAGAUGGGGCUGCAUAAGCGUCUGUCCGUGCGUAUGCACCUGACCAUGUGCGUCAAUUGCCGGCGCUUUAUUAAGCAGUUGCGCCUGGCCCAGGGGGUGCUGCGCCGCUUGCCGCGUGGGCAGAGUGCCGAGUUGGAUGCGCUGGCUGGCAAGCUUGCCGAGUUGCGUCGCCAGCAGCGCUGAGUGCGCUGCUGGCGAAUCGGUUUUA